AAUGGGCGCAAGCCUGAUCUAGCCAUGCCGCGUGAGUGAUGAAGGCCUUAGGGUCGUAAAGCUCUUUCGCCUGUGAUGAUAAUGACAGUAGCAGGUAAAGAAACCCCGGCUAACUCCGUGCCAGCAGCCGCGGUAAUACGGAGGGGGUUAGCGUUGUUCGGAAUUACUGGGCGUAAAGCGCACGUAGGCGGAUUGGAAAGUUGGGGGUGAAAUCCCGGGGCUCAACCCCGGAACUGCCUCCAAAACUAUCAGUCUAGAGUUCGAGAGAGGUGAGUGGAAUUCCAAGUGUAGAGGUGAAAUUCGUAGAUAUUUGGAGGAACACCAGUGGCGAAGGCGGCUCACUGGCUCGAUACUGACGCUGAGGUGCGAAAGUGUGGGGAGCAAACAGGAUU
rnacentral:rRNA from 1 species